CCCUUAGACGUUCUGGGCCGCACGCGCGCUACACUGACCAGUGCAACAAGCAUCCGUCCUUGGCCGACAGGCCCGGGCAAUCUUUGAACGCUGGUCGUGAUGGGGAUAGACUUUUGCAAUUUUUGGUCUUCAACGAGGAAUUCCUAGUAAACGCAAGUCAUCAACUUGCAUUGAUUACGUCCCUGCCCUUUGUACACACCGCCCGUCGCACCUACCGAUUGAAUGGUCCGGUGAAAUCUCCGGACUGGCGUGAGUCGGAGCAAUCUGACAAACACCGGAAAGUUGAUUAAACCUUACCAUUUAGAGGAAGGUGAAGUCGUANCA
rnacentral:rRNA from 1 species